ensembl:misc_RNA 7SK 7SK RNA
GGAUAUGGGGGUGAUCUGGCUGCAACAUCUGUCACCUCAUUGAUUGCCAGGGCUGAUCUGGCUGGCUAGGCAGGUGCCCUGUUCCUCCCUCCCCACACCGUGUGCAUCCUUCCUUAAGAGCACUGGGCCAAGGAGGAUGACCUUCCCCAAACAGAGGAGGACCAAUCUUCAGUCAAGGGUAUAUCAGCUGAGCGGCUGACUAGAAGCUAGCCUACAAACAAGUUCCAAAAUGCCAACCUCAUAGACAUAUGGGCAUUUAGUAUCAAUCUCU